rnacentral:rRNA from 1 species
UACGGAGGGUGCAAGCGUUAAUCGGAAUUACUGGGCGUAAAGGGUGCGUAGGCGGGUCUUUAAGUCAGGGGUGAAAUCCUGGAGCUCAACUCCAGAACUGCCUUUGAUACUGAGGGUCUUGAGUCCGGGAGAGGUGAGUGGAACUGCGAGUGUAGAGGUGAAAUUCGUAGAUAUUCGCAAGAACACCAGUGGCGAAGGCGGCUCACUGGCCCGUAGUGACGCUGAGGCACGAAAGCGUGGGGAGCAAACAGG